UACAGAGGGGGCAAGCGUUGUUCGGAAUUACUGGGCGUAAAGGGCGCGUAGGCGGCCUUCUAAGUCGAACGUGAAAUCCCCGGGCUCAACCCGGGAACUGCGUCCGAUACUGGAAGGCUUGAAUCCGGGAGAGGGAUGCGGAAUUCCAGGUGUAGCGGUGAAAUGCGUAGAUAUCGGGAGGAACACCGGUGGCGAAGGCGGCGACCUGGGUAGAUACUGACGCUGAGGAGCGAAAGCCAGGGGAGCAAACGGG
rnacentral:rRNA from 1 species